AGGAGUAUAUUGGGGAGAGAAAGGACUUGCUGUCAACAUGGUCAGCUGACAAAGGUGAUUGUUGAGGCAUUUUAUAGAUUCUCAAUGGAGAUGAAGAGAAUUGAGAAGGAGAUUGAGAGAAGAAAUGGUGAUCCAAAUUUGAGGAACAGAUGUGGGGCUGGAGUCUCACCCUAUGCCUACCUCAGAGGCUGGGGUUACAUGUAGAGGAGUGCCCAAUAGUAUAGCAGUGACUUUUAUCCAAAUGGUACGACAUUAUGUGUGACUUUUAUCUCAUAAUUUAGGUAGCUAGUUUAGAACCUACAAGGGAAGGGAAGCAAAGUUUUCCAAUUCCAAAUGUUGAUAAACGUAAAAGUUUAGGUUAGCUGGUCCUGGUUUGGUUUGGUCACUACCAAAAAAGGGGGCAAUAGACACCCUUUUAUCACUAACUAAUUGGUAUUGGUGACAAUUGAAUGGUUGGUCCAUGCUUUUGUUUACUUGUCACUAUUAUUUAUGACUAAUCUCUCACAUUUUAAUAUUUUGGUGACAGUUGAUUUAAGUAUAAUAAAUACUAGCUUUUUCGUACGUGCUUUCGCACUUGAAAGAGGCUUUUUAUAAAAAAAUUUAAAUUUAUUUUAGAAUUAAAAAAGAUAAUGCUUAGUUGUGUUCCAUAAAAAUAGAAUCAAUUAUCUUAUUUUUCUUUUAAUUUUAAUUUUAAUUUUUUUUAUUAUGAAAAAGUAUGAAUUUACCAUAUUAUUUUAUUUAAUUACAACGAUAGUGGACACUUCAAUUGCAGGGAUGGAAGACACUUCACUUGCAUCAUUCGUUUGUAUGUUUGGAUCAGAGGAGUGCUUGGAUUAGAAAGUACUAGCUAUAGGUCUUCUUAAGCGUGUAUGUAUUAUUGUUUGUAGAGGAUUGUACAAAUUUUUUAUUCAUUAGGAAAAUAUUGUACUACUUAAUUUAAUUACCAUCAUGUAUCAAUUGAAUAUUUAUAUUUAAUUAAAUAAUAAUAUUAGAGGCCUUUUUUACACAUGAAGUGAAUUACUAAGGAAUUAUUAUUAUUAUUUUAUCAAAAAAAAAAGAAAAAAAAGAAAAAGAAUUACUAUUAUUAUGCCAUUAAAGUAUAUCAAAAGGAAAUCGUAAUUAUUUAAAACAUAUAUAAUUCAGAAAAUUAUUAAACUAAUUAAAGAUAAAAAUAAUAAUAAAAUAUAAGUAUAAAGGUAGCUGAAAAGUCAAUAUAUAAUUUGUCACUUUCUUUAUUAAUGAUGACAAAGAUCAUUACCCUCACAAUUCUCACCAACUCAAAAUUUGUAGCUGCAUCGGAACUGAAGCCUUUAUCAAACGUGACUAAUACUUUCAAAAGUCACCCAAAAAAAUGUGGCUAUUGCUGAUUUUUUUUUUGUAGCGGGUGUAUGUCAUGCAUGAAGAUGAAGAUAAAUAAUAAAAAACACGGUAUUCUCUUUUUCCGCUAAUAUACGUCUUUUGAUCCUAAUGACUUGUCACCACCGACAUUGACGUAUGGUUGUCUGUCUUUAACAAGAUGUACUGAGGGCUGACGACGCAGUUGCUUCCAAUUAAAAAGGACGUGGGCCAAGCGGGCGGUUGUUGAGGAGGACGAUAAAAACUGAGAUGAAUGAAGGGUCUACAAACAAACUGGAAAGGAAGGAAUUGAACUUACGUACUCUUUUUUUAUGUAUACAUUGAUAUUUUUUUGGGUUUGUUUAUAGAAAUUAAAUGGUGUAUAAUUUAUCUGUAUCAUUAAUGCUAAGAAUGAAUAAAUGACUAAAUAUCUCUAUUUUUUUUUUUACCGCUGGAUCAUUCUAGGCUAGCAUGCAGCAACAACCGAAACGAUAAAAAUGUGAAUCAAUUGGCCUAAUCACAACGAAUUCCCAAAUAACACAUUUCAAAUGAGAUCAGAGAGUCUGAAACCAAGAAAAUGAAGAAAGAUGGUACAAAGAUACUAUAAAACAAAGUACGUCUACGCCACACAACAUUGGCAUCCCUAAAAACGUGUACACCUACCAUCCCAAAUCACGCCAAAAGUGAAUGAAAAGAGCUCUAAUUUGUUAUUUUCUCCUCUUUUGAAAUCAGCUAUAUAUAGGAAUAGAAGUGUUGAAUGAAAUUCAUGUGAAGCAGAGCAAGCAAAAAUUGCCAGAAGAAAGAACAUAUUAUAUAUAUAUAUAGCUAUGACAACUACUAUGAUUAGCUCAUUUAAUUCAAAGGCACUGAAUUGUGUUCUUUGGAACACGCCAAAGUUUUCUUCUCCUCCUCCCAAUUUGUUUUCUUCAACAAAGAGAAGGAGAUUGCAACAAAUUAGGAAGAAGAAGGCUCAUGAUCAGGCCACGGUAAGUUCAUUAAUAUCCUCUACUGCCGUUUAUCAGACGACGACGCUGCCCGUUGAACUCACUGCGCUGGUGACUGUAAGGAAAAGUCUGAAGCUAAGCAUCCAAGACAUGAUGCUUCAUUGGUUUGGCAAUCAUGAUCAUUUCUCCCACCACAAGGAAAAGGAGAAGUGUCUUGUUUUACAGCUUGUUAGUACUGAAACUGAAGCAGGUAAAGCUAUACAACUACUAUUAUCGUAUUAUUAUUAUUUUAUCAAUAUUAAUUUUAUUUUUUUAUUUUACAAUAUUUCUCUUUGGUGCCAUAUCUUUCUUCUUUGACUUUUCUUCUUAAUGUCGCAUUGAAACAUAAGAGUCCACGAAGCCAAAGCUGAGCAAUGAAGCUAUAUUGGAUUGGUCCAAGGAUCUAAACCUAAACCUAAUCCUCGGUGCUGGGAAAACCAGUUACGAAGUUCAAUUUGAGGUGGAUCCUAAAUUUGGGAUGCCAGGAGCCAUCACAGUGAGUAACAAGUACGAGAAGGAGUUGUAUUUGGAUAGCAUCAACGUUGAAGGCGUCGUGCAUAUUGGCUGCAACUCUUGGAUUCAACCAGACAAAGAUUCCUCGGAAAAAAGAAUCUUCUUCUCUACUAAGGUCCAUGACAGAGAUUAUAUAUGUAUAUGUAUAUAUAUAUAUAUAUAAGGAUCCUCGAGCCUCUUUUAGGAUCCAUGCAUCAUUUACCCGUAUUUUGUGAAAUCUAAGCCACUCAAAUAGUCUAACCACUUAACAUACAUCAAUUUUACGUUUUAUGUAUUUUUUUUUUCCAGAACUAGUGUUUCUUCGUGUUUAAGAUGCUUUAGUUUAUGAAUUUUUGAAGUUCAAAGGUUUGCAGAUUGACUUGUGAAGUAUGUGAAGCAUCUUCAAGAAUGGAUGACGAUGCUGGAGGAACAAGCAGCGAAGAAAACCGUGGAAGUAGUGGUGUUUGUGAAGAGCACUCAGUACUCUGCAAAUGAUGAUAUCUUUUCAUCGGAUGAAGAAAGAAAAAAAUCCCAAGCACAUUAACUUUAAUGUUAACAUCAGCUUGGAAAGAAAAAACACUUAGAGCAACUCCAUCUAUUUGCCCUUUGCCAUGGCAAGGGGGGAACUAGGGCAGCUACUAUUCACAUGAAUAGUAGCUGCCCCUUGUAAAAAGCAAUGUGUGUGGUUCCACCCGUUGUCAUGGCAAAUGGCAAAUACUAUUCAUUUUUUUGUUUUUUUUCACAAAUUUGUUUAUCUAAACAAUUAAUUUGGAUAAUAUUUUCUAAUAAGAUUUUUGGGUAUUUUUUGGUAUGUUUUAAAAAAAAUUUUGAAUUUUUUUCAUAAUUUUAUAGCAAAAAAAAGCCCAGUCGUUGGAUUGGAGGAGAGCAAGCGAUCGGAGCCCCCAUACGACAACACAUGUCCUCUAGCUGUUGGUGGAGCGCAGGGCGGACGUCAUCGCAUGCUGACAUCAUCCCCCCCUGGGGCUAGCUGCCUUCGGGCCAGCCCGUCUUCGUGGGUCUCACUCCCAACCCGGGCUUGGGCUCCUCGCUGGAACUGGGUUCUUUUUUUCUCCCCCCAGACAGAGGCUGGGCUCCUCACUGGAGUUGCUCUUAUAUUGAUAUUGUGUCAUAUGCUAAGUUGUUAGAUUAUUUAAGUGGCUUAGAUUUUACGAAAUACGGGUAAAUGCACGGAUGCUAAAUGUAGAGGUUCAAGAUCCAUAAUUAAGUUAUAUAAAUUAGUCAUGGCCAUGUUUUUGCAGGCAUACUUACCUGAUGAGACACCAGCAGGGCUGAAAGAGCUGAGAGAAAUGGAGCUAAGGCAGCUAAGGGGUGAUGGGACGGGACUCAGAUUACCAUCCGAUAGAACAUACGACUAUGACACUUACAAUGACAUUGGAAAUCCAGAUGCGGGGAUUGAAUACAUACGAUCUACCCUUGGGGGCAAUACACACCCACACCCUAGACGUUGUCGAACUGGUCGACCACCAACCAGCACAGGUCACUAAGUUAGAUAGUGAGAGUACAUUGUUAAUAUUUUGUCAUAAAAUAGAUAUAUAUCGACAAUGUAUUGAAUACUGUAGAUUGAUAUACGUUAUUAAUACGGGUAUUCAAUUGGGUUUCUGCAAUUAGUUAUAAUAUCCAUCCAUGUGAAUGCAAUGCAACAGAUGAUAAUAUGGAGUCACCGGAAAAUGAAUUCAAGAGAAUUUACGUGCCAAGAGAUGAAGAGUUUGAGGAGGCGAAGCAAGGAGCUCUUGACGUUGGAAAGUUGAAGGGGAUUCUCCGGCAUAUAAUUCCUACCCUUACAAUUAUUGCUAGUAGGGACAGCAAUGUUUUCAAGGGGUAUGUAGAUACCAACUGUCUCUAUAGUACUGACAUGUCUUUACCCAAGAUUUUGAACAAAGUCCAGGAAUUCCUCAAAUUUGACCCUCCAAAGUUAAUCUCUGGUAAGUGGCAAGCAAGCGUCAUAAGAUCUCAUUACUUUAUUAUUAUUGGAGUAAGAGAACGGAACCAUGGAUGUGUAUAAAAUCUCACUCACAAUCCAAUUAUUUCAGGGCUUAUAUCUUGUUGUUUGCCAGAUGAAGAAUUUGGGCGUCAAGCAAUUGCCGGCGUAAACCCUAUGAGCAUACAAAAGCUCACGGUUUUCCCACCUGUUAGCAAAUUGGAUCCCUCCAUUUAUAGUCCACAAGAGUCGGCACUCAAGGAGGAGCAUAUAAUAGGCCAUCUCAAUGGCAUGUCAAUACAGCAGGUAUAUAUGUCUAGAAAACAAAAGCCUUUAAAAGACAAAUACAUAAAACGGAGGAAAGGUUCCCUAAAAUGCAUAGAUGAUAUUUGUGGGUUUUGCAGGCAUUAGAAGAAAACAAGCUGUUCAUACUAGACUAUCAUGACAUUUUCCUUCCAUAUCUGGACCAAAUAAAUGCUUUGGAUGAUCGAAGAGCUUACGGAACCCGUACAAUUUUGUUCUUGACCCCAUUGGGAACCUUGAAGCCCAUUUCUAUUGAACUCAGCUUCCCUCCAACCAAUUCGGAUUCACCAUCCAAGCAGGUUCUCACUCCUCCAGUUGAUUUUACAACAAAUUGGCUUUGGCAGAUUGGCAAAGCCCACGUCUCGUCCAACGAUGCCUGUGCUCAUCAACUGAUUCAUCAUUGGUAUGCACACCAGUUUCUAUAAUUGUUGUUAAGGUGCUGUUUUCAUCUAAGCUUGAUGAUAAACUUGUUUUCCUGUAACCAAUAAGGCAAAAUUCCAAUGUAUGAAACAGGUUACGCACCCAUGCCUGCAUGGAACCACUUAUAAUAGCAGCCCACCGGCAGCUGAGUGUGAUGCACCCUAUCUACAAGCUUCUCAAUCCUCACAUGCGCUACACCUUGAAGAUAAAUGCAUUGGCCCGCCAAUUUCUCAUCAAUGCUGGAGGCGUAAUCGAGUCGAAUUUCACUGCUGGUAAAUAUUGCAUGGAGAUGAGUUGUGCGGCUUAUCGAGAUUGGUGGCGCUUUGACCUUGAGGGCCUUCCUGCAGAUCUCCUUAGAAGGUUUCAGAAAGCUCUUAAUCUAUAUACUAUCAGGAUUCAGAACUAUAUUAUAAAAGUUUAUUAACUUUAUCUUCAUUUCUACACAGAGGCAUGGCAGUACCAGACUCUACUCAAGUCCAUGGGAUAAGACUGGUAAUUGAAGACUACCCUUAUGCAACAGAUGGACUCCUCAUAUGGUCAGCAAUUGAGACAUUGGUCCGAACCUAUGUCAAUUACUACUAUCCUGAUGCAAGUGCGGUUAAUUUUGAUACAGAACUGCAGGCCUGGUACAAUGAGUCAAUCAAUUUAGGCCAUGCUGAUCUUCGCCAUGCUAGCUGGUGGCCUAAACUCUCUACUCCAGAUGAUCUUACAUCCAUUCUCACCACCAUCAUUUGGGUCACAUCGGCACAGCAUGCUGCCUUGAACAAUGGGCAGUAUCCAUAUGGCGGGUAUGUCCCGACCCGCUCACCACACAUGCGGAGACUACUGCCAGAGGAGCAUGACCCAGAGUAUACUACUUUCAUGCAGGAUCCACAGAAAUACUUCCUAUCAUCAUUCCCCAGUUUACUCGAAGCAACAAAGUACAUGGCUGCAAUAGACAUCAUUUCAGCACACUCACCGGAUGAGGAGUAUAUUGGGGACAGAAAGGACUUGUCAACCUGGUCAGCUGACACAGUGAUUAUUGAGGCGUUCUACAGAUUUUCUAUGGAGAUGAGGAGGAUAGAAAAAGAGAUUGAACGAAGAAAUACUGAUUCAAACCUUAGGAACAGAUGUGGGGCUGGGGUUUCCCCAUACGAGUUGCUCAUGCCAAGCUCAGAACCUGGGGUUACAUGUAGAGGAGUGCCCAAUAGUAUAUCAAUCUGAGUCAAUUUGACACAAAAGUUGGCUAUGAGCCUAAAUCAACCGGAAUUUCUAAACUUGGCACUGAGC
rnacentral:lncRNA from 1 species